rnacentral:rRNA from 1 species
AGACAGCAGUCGCCACGGUAAUACGUAGGGUGCGAGCGUUAAUCGGAAUUACUGGGCGUAAAGCGUGCGUAGGUGGUGGUUUAAGUCCGUUGUGAAAGCCCUGGGCUCAACCUGGGAAUUGCAGUGGAUACUGGGUCACUAGAGUGUGGUAGAGGAUAGUGGAAUUUCCGGUGUAGCAGUGAAAUGCGUAGAGAUCGGAAGGAACAUCUGUGGCGAAGGCGACUAUCUGGGCCAACACUGACACUGAGGCACGAAAGCGUGGGGAGCAAACAGGAUUAGAUACCCGCGUAGUCCCUGUCUCUUAUAC